rnacentral:lncRNA from 1 species
UUCUCCUCUUUAUGGUCUUCUGCCUAGUAACCGGUAGAUAUAAACCCUACUUUUUCCUUUGAGUUGAUCCUUGAUAUGUUUACCCUAACCGAUGAUGGAUAUUCUUCCUUUUGUGUUUUCUUGCCAGUAACCGGUAGAUGUAAAUCCUACUUUCCCCUCCGAGUUUAUCCUUGAUAUAUACAUCCUAACCGGUGACAAAUAUUCUCUCUUUGGUAUUCUAUCCAGUAACUGAUAGAUAUAA